rnacentral:rRNA from 1 species
CCUACGGGAGGCAGCAGUGAGGAAUAUUGGUCAAUGGGCGCGAGCCUGAACCAACCAAGUCGCGUGAGGGAUGAAGGUUCUAUGGAUCGUAAACCUCUUUUAUAAGGGAAUAAAGUGUGGGACGUGUCCUAUUUUGUAUGUACCUUAUGAAUAAGGAUCGGCUAACUCCGUGCCAGCAGCCGCGGUAAUACGGAGGAUCCGAGCGUUAUCCGGAUUUAUUGGGUUUAAAGGGUGCGUAGGCGGCCUUUUAAGGAAGCGGUGAAAGUAUGUGGAUCAACCAAAGAAUUGCCGUUGAUACUGGGGGGCGUGAGAAUGUUUGAGGCAGGCGGAAGGCGUGGUGUAGCGGUGAAAUGCUUAGAUAUCACGCAGAACCCCGAUUGCGAAGGCAGCCUGCCAGGCCAUGACUGACGCUGAGGCACGAAAGCGUGGGGAUCAAACAGGAUUAGAUACCCUUGUAGUG